AAGUCGUAACAAGGUUUCCGUAGGUGAACCUGCGGAAGGAUCAUUAUCGAGUUUUGAAACGGGUUGUAGCUGGUCUCUCCGGAGGCAAAUGUGCACGCCCUGCUCAUCCACUCUACACCUGUGCACUUACUGUGGGUAUCGGAAGGCGUCGCGUCGUUCUUACGGCGAGGGGCUGACUGUGCCUACGUUUUAUUACCAACGCUUCAGUAUCAGAAUGUGUAUUGCGAUGUAACGCAUCUUAUAUACAACUUUCAGCAACGGAUCUCUUGGCUCUC
rnacentral:misc_RNA from 1 species